GAUGAACGCUGGCGGCGUGCCUAAUACAUGCAAGUCGAGCGAACGGACGAGAAGCUUGCUUCUCUGAUGUUAGCGGCGGACGGGUGAGUAACACGUGGAUAACCUACCUAUAAGACUGGGAUAAUUUCGGGAAACCGGAGCUAAUACCGGAUAAUAUUUUGAACCGCAUGGUUCAAAAGUGAAAGACGGUCUUGCUGUCACUUAUAGAUGGUUCCGCGCUGCAUUAGCUAGUUGGUAAGGUAACGGCUUACCAAGGCGACGAUGCAUAGCCGACCUGAGAGGGUGAUCGGCCACACUGGAACUGAGACACGGUCCAGACUCCUACGGGAGGCAGCAGUAGGGAAUCUUCCGCAAUGGGCGAAAGCCUGACGGAGCAACGCCGCGUGAGUGAUGAAGGUCUUCGGAUCGUAAAACUCUGUUAUUAGGGAAGAACAUAUGUGUAAGUAACUGUGCACAUCUUGACGGUACCUAAUCAGAAAGCCACGGCUAACUACGUG
rnacentral:rRNA from 1 species